UACGUAGGCAGCAAGCGUUGUUCGGAGUUACUGGGCGUAAAGGGUGUGUAGGCGGUUGUUUAAGUUUGGUGUGAAAUCUCCCGGCUCAACCGGGAGGGUGCGCCGAAUACUGAAUAACUAGAGUGCGGGAGAGGAAAGUGGAAUUCCGCGUGUAGCAGUGAAAUUCGUAGAUAUUCGGAAGAACACCAGUGGCGAAGGCGGCUCACUGGACUGGUAUUGACGCUGAGGUGCGAAAGCGUGGGGAGCAAACAGG
rnacentral:rRNA from 1 species